GGGACUUGAAGGGAGCAAAUCACAAGGAAAAGUCUAAUCAAUGCAAAAGCCAUUUGAACUUCUAGAGACAAAAACAAAUUUCAUUAUCUGAUAUCACCAUGAAGCAGAAAUUAACAGAUUCAAAAAUGAUGGCCUCCUGUGAAAACAUAAGGCCAUGACAGAAAUAAAACAGCAGAGUUAAAAUUUUAUAUUUUUAACACAAAUCACACAUACCACUGUCAAUUAUAGUCAUUAAAUUCAACAACAAUGUCUCAAAAUGUAACAGGGAACCUAAAAUACCCAUGUACUACUCUUGUACCAAAAGCUCCUUAGAACACUUUCCACAAAGGAUUUAACAUUUAAGAAUGUUCAGAUGUUCUUGAUACUACAUAUCAGACACAACCAUCCCUACAAAGCAAAGAAAAACGAAAUUAGAAACCUACAUGACAAGUAACAAAACCUUCAAGCUUUUCAUCAAUAUAAGAGAACUCAAUCAAGCAAUUAUGAGGCCAACAGAGAGAUGAAAAUUACUAACAUGUUACCUUAUUUACAGAAGCUUACAGGCAAUUAAGGGUUUUUUCAAUAAACCAGAUUAGGCAGGUCAUCAAAGCUCCACAGGUCCAUUGGAUUUCCACCAUCCUGAGUUGCAUCUCCAUUAAGGAAGCUAUCAAGCGAGGCCACCCAACUCCCAUCAAGAUAUGGCAUCUGAAAGUUCAUCUGAUUGUCGAAAGCCAACAGCUCUUCAGAUAGAGAUUUUUCAUUGUUUUCUUCUACAGGAACCACAUUUCCAGAGUCAGACUUCAUCCGCUUUUUAGGGCUAGCAUCCUCCAUAAACAGAGAUUCAUCAAUUUCUGGAGUAGCUGAAAGAACUGAUGAGAUUUCAUGAGUCUUCGAGGCCUGUUCUCCCCAUCCUAAGUCAGAACAUUCAAAUGAGUUACUCCCCUGAUCAGAAUUGAAAUACAUGGGGACAUUAUCACGUGUAGGAAUGGAUUUGUUUGCACCAUCUCCAUUGGCAGGAAAAGAGUCCAUUAAGCCAAAUUGGUUCACAGGUGGUUUCUCAUCAACAAAACCCAAAGUAUUGAAGUAGUCUGGUUCUGUGCAGUUCAAGUAACUCGAACUCUGAGACAAGUUUUCCUUGGAAAGCGGUUUCUGAGGGUUUGCCUUAACUGUACGCUUUGGGGAAGCACGUGGAGCUUCAUCAGGAAAGUUCACUUUAGCUUUCUUGCCCCGAAUUCUACGUGCCUCAGCGUCAUAUGCUCUUGCAGCUUCUUCUGCAGUAUUGAAUGUUCCUAGCCAGACACGCACCCCCUUCCUGGGAUCACGAAUCUCAGCAGCCCAUUUUCCCCAUGGACGCUGCCGGAUUCCUCUAUACUGGUUCUUUCUCUUUCUCUUAGCAGAUUUUUCAGCUUGCCCAUUGAAUUCCACAGAUUUUACAGCUGUAGAGCCUUAAUCACAAAGCGAAAGACAUUACACAAAUAACAACUGAAGGCAUAAAAAAAGAGAAAUAAUGCCCAGCAUAAAGAGUCCUAUCACAUCAUAAAAUACAUAUCAGGCAAAAUCCUACAACAAUCUUAGGUUCAUAAUUAAGGAAAAAAUCAUCAAGUGAAAAAUUAACAAUGAAAGAAAAAAUCAGUACAGAAGAGAUAAAACUCAUGCAAUAUACCCACUUUGCAGCUUUGCUUUGAUAAAACCACCUGAGCACACAAAUUGAAAACCAAUCCUCUGUACCAAACAGUGUUUUUGAGACAAAAUGCAAUUCAAAGGCACCUUGGAUUAUAUGGAUGAAACAUAACUUGUAGUCUAACAAGAUAUCAACCCUUCGCUUUUUCAUUUUUUUUUUUUUAACUUAAAUAAAAAUAGCAAGUUUGAUCUCAUCAUCGCUAGAAGCAAUUCCCAAAAUUAUUAUGUUGUGCAAGAGCAAAUUAACGGCCAACAAAGAAUAUUUAACUGCUAACAAUUUGAAGCUUAAAUAAUAAAUAUAAAUUAAAACUAAUUUCAUAUUAGAAAAAACGAACUUUAAUGCUGAGAAAGGACAGAAUGGUAAACAGAAUAUAUACCAAUAUCUUACAACAAAUCUAUUGAUUCAAAAGAUCUUAAGCAAUCAAACCGGAAAGAAUCUUUAUAGAAUAGCAUAUGCUAUCGUAUCAUAACAACAACAGCAUGGAGAAUUCUUUUUCCCCUCUCCAUCCCAAAAGGAAAAUUUUGUGCCUGUGUUAAUUUUCCUACCGAUCUUAAGAAAAUAGUCAGAGGUUAAAAGGGCAAAAGAACAACUAAAGUUGCAGAAAAAGAUAAAAUUAAAGCAGAUAAAAGGUGCUUAUUUGCAAGACAGAAACAAAAUCUAACAACUGAAAAAUUAUAAUGGUCAAAUUAAGAAAUAAUACUUUAACUAAGUUCGAUUCAUAAACAAAAAAUCCCAGAUUUAAAACCAAAAAAAGUCUGACAAAGUAGCAGCCAUCACCACAUAUUUAUUUUUCUAAUUUUAUUCUGAUCAAAGCAUAUUACUGUAGUGGCUAACUGAAUCAAGGACAAAAGAUCUCAUAAAAAUGAUAUAUCAGAACUAAACAACAAAAAUUUCCAAAAUAAUUUCCUCUUAAUCCCAUAGAAAACUAAACAUCCACAUGAAAUUAGGGGGAAAGUCCUUUUUCCACAAAAUAAUCAUUAGAAGUAAAACACAAGAGCCAACAUAGUCAUCUUUAAGGGUCUGUUUUGAUGAGAGCGAGUAAGGAGAUAAACAAGGAGGCGUAAAAAUGAAGAGAUGGUUAUACACCCCUUAAAUUUACCCUUCUCCUUCGCCUCUUCAUAAACAUAAAAAAUAGUCAUUUUCCCCACUUACCUUUCUAUUAAUCCACCCAUAAAUUUUUUUUUUUAUUAUAACGUUCCUUACCCUUCACCUUUUUUAUCCUCAUUUACCCUUUCACUCCUUACACUUCCCUCACCCCAUCAGACAGACCAUAAGCAACAGAAAAUCAUCCCCAUGAGCGUCAAGUUCCUCAAGCAUUGAAAUAAAUGUAUAGAAAAAGUAAGAAACUUUUUCCAAAGAGAAAUAUUAAGAGCGGAUAAAAAAAAAAAGGCAAAAAUCAUAAGACAAAUACUUGCAUCCAAGAUUGUCACUCCAAGAAAAUGAAAAAAUCCAUUUGAAGUAAGAUUAAAAAUUUGCCCACAAAAAAAAAAAUCUAAACAAGAAUCAGCUGCAGCAAAGAAACAAAGAACUCGGACAAAUUGAAAACUAAAUUAAAAACCCACAAAACAUUUAUAAAACAUAUGAAAAGGAGAUGGUUACUAAAAUCAUUACCGCGGGAUAGACUGCUAUUGCGAGCAGGAGGAGAGGCAGUAGCAAAGAAAGCAAAAGGCUUGACAUCAAGCAAGACAUCAUCUUCCUCAUCGACAUCAGACUCAUCCUUAAACUCCUGGAAAUCAGCCUCGAAAUCAUCGUCAAGAUCGCCAACAACAGGCUUCGAGUACUGCUUCCCAAUGGCUUUCUUUAGAUCAGGCCAGAGAAAGUCCGCCGUCAACCGGCGCGAAGAUCGCCCAGCGACAGUGGGAGGGAUGAAGUCAGAGAUGAUAGCACCGCCACACAUGGUGGUUGUCGCUGCAGCAGGUGAUUAUGGUGAUCAGAGGAACGAAAAUGAAAA
rnacentral:misc_RNA from 1 species